ACUCAAAGGAAUUGACGGGGGCCCGCACAAGCGGUGGAGCAUGUUGUUUAAUACGUCACGAACCGUAGAACCUUACCAGGGCUUGACAUCUGGUGCACCGGGGUGAAAGCCUCGUCUCCCGCAAGGGAGCGCCAAGACAGGUGUUGCAUGGCUGUCGUCAGCUCGUGUCGUGAGAUGUUGGGUUAAGUCCCGCAACGAGCGCAACCCUCAUCCCAUGUUGCCAGCGGAUCAUGCCGGGAACUCUUGGGAAACUGCCGGGGUAACUCGGAGGAAGGUGAGGAUGACGUCAAGUCAGCAUGGCCCUUACGCCCUGGGCUACAAACAUGCUACAAUGGACGGUAGACAGAGGGAUCCGAGGCCGCGAGGUGGAGGCAAUCCCAGAAAUCCGUUCUCAGUUCGGAUUGCAGGCUGCAACUCGCCUGCAUGAAGUCGGAAUCGCUAGUAACCGCAGGUCAGCGAAACUGCGGUGAAUACGUUCCCGGGCCUUGUACACACCGCCCGU
rnacentral:rRNA from 1 species